rnacentral:rRNA from 1 species
AUAAGACGAGAAGACCCUGUGGAACUUAAAAAUCAACGGCCACCGCGAACCUACAAACCAACCCCACUGGGGCCACUACUAAUCGCAAGGCAUGGCCGACAUUUUUCGGUUGGGGCGACCUUGG